rnacentral:misc_RNA from 1 species
AAAUAAAGAUAAAUAUAUAGUUUUCUUAAGUUUAAUGAUUGUGUUGCAAUUAUAUCAUAUUUUUUCAUAUUAUAAAUUAUCUAGUUCUCUCGAGGGUUUUCUUUUCUAUGGUUUUAAUUUACUUUCUCCACGGAAUUCACCGAUCAUCUUCCCUUCCGAGCAGGGGACAACCUUCCCCCUUUUCUUGAAGAAUGGUUCUCUCCCUCCUCACCUCCGAGCGGGAAUUAUGAAUAAAUAAUGAUUCUCCUCAGUUUUGAGGUAGUUCCGGUGGUUCUUGGGCAAGAGUUCUAGUUUGUCGACUCUAAUGUUGA